GGAGCUGUGCCCGAAUGCCCAGGGGCCACCUUGAUGAGGUGAACCACAGGAGUUAAAAUCUCCUCAGUUCUU
rnacentral:tRNA from 1 species